UAGCACAUGUGGGCAUGUCUUAUGGAAAGUUGCUUCCAUCCAGGGACCUGUGUUAGCUAGUUCUCAAUUUGGUCUGGUGUCCAAGCCCCACCUCUGGAGUCGAGUCCAUACUCUACCUCACCACCACACCCAGAGACGGGGUUUCGCCAUGUUGCCCAGCCUGGCCUCCAACUCCAGGGUUCAAGUGGCUUGGCCUCUUAAAGUGCUGGGAUUACCCCACCUCAGCUGAUACCUUGAGGAAAACUUCCUGCAAAGGUCUGGAACUAUCACCAACAAACAAAAAACAAAACAAAAAAGAAAAGAAAAAGGUGAGGCUUUUGGCUAUCAGGAACUGAUUUAAUGCUUCCAACCAAGAACAAGGAAGCAGACAUCUGGAAAAACAUGGAGAAAAAUUAAAAUCUGUAUGGAGAAUACUAUGCAUAGGGACUCUAGUCAUACUACAGAUUUGUCUUUACUAAAUGUAAAUAUUGGAUGUCUUUACUAGAUGUAAAUUUAGAGAAGGCACUUGCUAAAUGUAUUGAUGAAUGUCUGGACAACAAAACAAAUCCACAGAAAAGACAAUUUUAAUAGAGAUACCAAUUACUGAGUACUCGCAUGUACCAAGUAUUGCUUCUGCAACAUCUCUAAUUUUGACAACUCCUAUAAAAAGUAGAUAUUAUUACACCUUAUCUUAAAUAUGAAGAAACAGAUGCUAGGAAGAGUUGGGUUAUUUACCCAAGGUCAUUCAGCUAGCGAAAAGUAUCACAAGGGAAACACAGGUCUAUCAGGCUUUAAAAGAUGAAAGAGAUUUACUAACAAAAAGGUGCUUUAGAUAGAAAGAAUCACUAAAAGUCGGGCACGGUGGCUCACGCCUGUAAUCCAAGCACUUUGGUGGCCAAGGCGGGCAGAUCACCUGAGGCUGGGAGUUCAAGACCAGCCUGACCAACAUGGUGAAACCCCGUCUUUUUUAAAAAAAAAAAAUAAUAAAUUAAAAAACAA